rnacentral:rRNA from 1 species
GAUGAACGCUGGCGGCGUGCCUAAUACAUGCAAGUCGAGCGAACAGACGAGGAGCUUGCUCCUCUGACGUUAGCGGCGGACGGGUGAGUAACACGUGGAUAACCUACCUAUAAGACUGGGAUAACUUCGGGAAACCGGAGCUAAUACCGGAUAAUAUAUUGAACCGCAUGGUUCAAUAGUGAAAGACGGUUUUGCUGUCACUUAUAGAUGGAUCCGCGCCGCAUUAGCUAGUUGGUAAGGUAACGGCUUAGCAAGGCAACGAUGCGUAGCCGACCUGAGAGGGUGAUCGGCCACACUGGAACUGAGACACGGUCCAGACUCCUACGGGAGGCAGCAGUAGGGAAUCUUCCGCAAUGGGCGAAAGCCUGACGGAGCAACGCCGCGUGAGUGAUGAAGGUCUUCGGAUCGUAAAACUCUGUUAUUAGGGAAGAACAAAUGUGUAAGUAACUAUGCACGUCUGGACGGUACCUAAUCAGAAAGCCACGGCUAACUACGU